UUACUCAUUUGGGCAGUAUAUAUACUAAAACUGGAACAAAACAGAAAGGCUGACCUUGGUCCCUGUGAAAUGAUAAUAUGCAAAUCCAUGAAAUGUUCCAAUUUUUA